rnacentral:SRP_RNA from 1 species
UUAUAUUUAUGGUACAACUUAUGGAGUUUUAAUUUGGUCAGGUCAGGAAUGAAGCAGCCACGUAAACAAGAUAGGUGUGUACCAUUUUGUUUACCUAU